GACGAACGCUGGCGGCGUGCCUAACACAUGCAAGUCGAACGGAGUGGCGAACGGGUGAGUAACACGUGGGUGAUCUGCCUUGCACUUCGGGAUAAGCUUGGGAAACUGGGUCUAAUACCGGAUAGUGCAAGAUGAGCUCGCGGCAUAUCAGCUUGUUGGUGGGGUAAUGGCCUACCAAGGCGUCGAAGGGUAGCCGGCCUGAGAGGGUGUACGGCGACCUUGGGACUGAGGUACGGCCCAGAGUCGUACGGGACGCAGCAGUGGGGAAUAUUGCGCAAUCGGCGGAAGGCUGAUGCAGCGGCGCCGCGUGGGGGAUGAAGGCGUUCUGGUUGUAAACUCCUUUCGACAGGGACGCGGUACCUGUAUAAGAAGCACCGGCUAACUACGUGCCAGCAGCCGCGGUAAUUC
rnacentral:rRNA from 1 species